rnacentral:rRNA from 1 species
GUCCACGCUGUAAACGAUGAAUACUAGGUGUGGGAGGACUGACCCCUUCCGUGCCGCAGUUAACACAAUAAGUAUUCCACCUGGGGAGUACGACCGCAAGGUUGAAACUCAAAGGAAUUGACGGGGGCCCGCACAAGCAGUGGAUUAUGUGGUUUAAUUCGACGCAACGCGAAGAACCUUACCAGGACUUGACAUCCAACUAACGAAGUAGAGAUACAUUAGGUGCCCUUCGGGGAAAGUUGAGACAGGUGGUGCAUGGUUGUCGU